GGGUGCAGAAAUUAAUGGAAGUCAAAGCAAUGUCCCCAUAAAGAUAGCUGUACAUGCGCGUGUUUCUGUGUGUGAGGGAGGAUGCAGCUGAUUGAAGGCUAGCAGCCUGCAGGUCUCACCAUCCGUCCAUCACCGCUUACAUCCAAUCAGCUGCGGGCUGAUGGGACCUGCUGAGCAUCCUCCUCUCUCAUCCUCGGGUUCCUCCGAGCAACGACCACACACAUCUGGGUCCUUCAGCGUGGCUCUGCGCGUCUCUGUCCUCCCUCCUGACCGGUGAUGGCAAACACCCGCUGCUUCACCAACCGCUUCUCCGACUACAAAGGCGCGCUGCUCCCAGGCCACAGCGCCGAAGCCAUCCUCCCAGCCAUCGUCACCAAGAUCGAGAAGAUCCUCCGGAAGGUGCCGGUCGACAUCAGCGACUGCGACGGAGGUCUGUACGAUGGGCCGGCCGGGGUGGCGUACAUGCUGUAUCACGUCAGCGAGUGCCCGCUGUUCUCCGAGCACCGGAGCGUCUACCUGAAGACCGCCAAGCAGAUCAUCGACGUGUCGGUGAGGUACGCGGACGCGGAGCCGGACCAAAACAUGCGGGCCGCCUUCCUGCUCGGCGGGGCGGGCAUCUACGCGGUGGCCGCUCUCAUCUACAAGUCCAUGGGCUUGGCGAAUUUCGUCAAGCCGCUGACCAAGUUCCGCAGCCUGUGGGAGGUGUGCGCGCCCAUCAACUUCCUGGAGUGCGGCUCGGACGAGCUGUUCGUGGGGCGGGCUGGCUACCUGUGCGCUGCCUUGGUCCUCAAACAGAAGCUGGGCAUCGAGAUUCUGAGCAAAGAUCAAAUCAAAUCUAUCUGCCAGGCCAUCAUUGAGUCAGGAAAACAGUACGCCAGAAGGAAAAGGAAACCUUUCCCUCUGAUGUAUUCAUAUUAUGGAACUGAGUAUCUUGGUGCAGCCCAYGGCCUCUCGUCGGUGCUACAGAUGCUGCUGAGCUACCAGGAUGUGCUCAGCGAGGCAGAGAAGGACCUGGUGUGGCAGAGCGUGGAUUUCCUCAUGAGCCAGGAGCAGAACUGCAACUGGCCCGCAGAGCUGGGGGCCAUCAUUGAGAGGGAAAAUGAGCUGGUGCACUGGUGUCACGGAGCUCCGGGUGUGGCGUAUCUUUUUGCAAAAGCCUACCUGAUGAAUAAGAAGCCUCAGUAUUUGGAUACAUGUAUCCGCAGUGGAGAACUGGUGUGGCAGAAAGGCCUGCUGAAGAAAGGACCUGGGAUUUGUCACGGAGUUGCUGGCAGUGCUUAUGUCUUCCUCCUUCUGUACCGGCUCACAGGCAACACAAAAUACCUCUACCGUGCCCAGAGCUUGCAAAAAGAACAAGAACUCAUGACGGACGAGCUGGAAAAUCUCACUAUAUUGUCAGCGUUGUUGAAAGAGGAAAAAAAGAACAGAAGUCAUUGGUGGGAUGCUCACCCGUCACAUCAGACCCAAACCGACCAGGGGGAGUCCAGUGUUCUGGUCCAACAGAUCCUGCAGAUGGACAGCAAGAUGCACUCUCUCAUUUCGAUGACCUCAGAUCAMCCUUUCCAUUCAGCACACACACAGGAUGCUGAUCUCUGUUCCAGAGAGGCUGUCUGCUGGACUCUGGCRGCUCAUGGACAUCUGUUGCCGCCAGCUUCAAGAUGGGGAUAUCCACUGUGGCUUUGAUUUCAUCCGAGGUGACCAAAGUGAUACGGUUAGAUCUGCAGCUGGAGUUCGUGGUGGCAGCAGUGGAAGUUUCCGGACUGUGUUGGAGCGAUUGGUGGGAAGUACGUAAAAAAUCAGAGGAAGUGGACAAUCCAUGGAUUUGAUGGUGGCUUGUGAUGCAAGAUGCUUUACCAUGGUUGAUGUCACGGGAGGACAGCAGGAUGGUUGCGUGUUUGAAGGCAGCCGCCUUGCAGUCAAAAACGCACAACUUCCUCUGCCUCCAACAGCGAGYCUCCCAGCACUGAGGCAUUGCACGUGUUUGUGGGAGAUGCUGCGUGUCCUGCUCAUCAACCUCAUGCAUCCAUAUGCAGAUGGCAACCUCUCCAAGAAGAAGCAAAUAUUAAACCUUCACCACUCRUGCACAGAGUGUCAUUAAGAAAUCCUUUGAGCAUCAAGGUGGAGGUUGAUCAGGCGAGUUGUCCCCAGUUAAGACAGUGGAUGUGGGAAAGGCCUGCGUGUCUUUGCACAACCACCUCACAGAUGCUGAAAACUCUGCCGACUACAUCAGUACAACAGGAGAGCUGCAGCAGAGGGACUGGAGGAGAGAAGUGGAAGGAGACAGCAACCUCCUGGACCGGGGGAAGCUGUCAGACUAACCCCACCAGUACUUGUGCCAUGGCUGGAGGACACAGUCCAGAGGGGGUGUCUGCAGUAGCCAGGACAACAGUUUGUCCCUUAGAUUGUGUCUGAUGUUUUCAUAAGGUUCUUUCUUCAAACAAGUUUGCGUUUGUUGUUGUUUUAAAUAAAAUGCUGCUUCAAAACUUGUUGUUCAGCCUUUAAAAUAUUCCUGAAACUCCACAUGUAUUGUUUUAUUUUGUUACAGUAAUUACAUGUGUGAUGCAUUGUUUUUAGAAUAUGAACACGUUACAUAGACAUUAACUUACACUAUGGAUUUUCUGAAGCUUCCACAUACAUUGCUGCAUAUAAUUAUAUUUUAUAAUAGUGGCACAACUAACAUAACUGAGGGCUUUUUGAACACAAAAUCACAAAUUACUGCACACUUAAGAGCUUCUUUCUAAAGAGUCAAACGUCAAARUACACCCAAUAAUUUCAGAAACAAAAGAGAAAACGAUGUUUCUGAAAACAUAUUUGGGAAGAAACUUGCCCUUGAUCCAAUAUGGAUGCUUUCAAGACGUAGGUCCCAUCACCUGCUGGGGUAUUUUUCUUUUUGUUUCUGAAAUUAAAGUGUAUUCUAUGACCUUUGACUCAUCCUGUACAUAUAAAUGUAAGGCACAUGUAGAAAAAUUGACCACCAUUAUUAUAAAAACUUUUAUCUAGACAGAUAAAGUGUGGAUAAUUUCCAACCUCUGAGGAUGCAGGUACCAACUGGACUUUUACUUUAUAGUCCAGUGCCUCAACUAUAGCUUAAGUCCGGAGUUACUUUUUGUUAACAUUUUUUCAUUUUUAUUUUUAAUUAACGUGACCAAGAAUCAACACAUGCGUAAAAAAAUGUUUCAUACAUUUUAGUUCUCAGACAUUUUUUUGAGCUGAACAAUUACUAAAAGUCAUGUUCAGGCAGGUGCMAUCAGAAGGACAUUCUGAUGUAAAUGGAUCACUCACUGACACAUUUCACUUUAAACACACUGUAUGAGACAUUUUCAACAGUCAAUGCUGCAAGGAACAGAGAAAUGUGUGGCUUUUCAACCAGAAAGUAUUCCAUGAKUGAACAAAUACCAUUGAGGAUAUGAGAAUGUAUGUGGGUUGAUGUCCUUGGUUGCUCAUCUGGUCACUGCAUCAGUCCCAUAAGGGCCACUUUGUUUUGCUUUCUUGGCCCUGGGUUGCGCAGCAGAGUGGAGAGGCAGCCGGUUGCACACAAAUAAACUCUGAACAGAAAUGUAAAAUUGUAAAACACACAGAUUGUGUUUCCACAAUUUUAGCGAUGUUAUCUGUAUUACAAUAAGUGUGUGUUCUU